CCGUGUCUAUGAUAAAUGUGCAUAUUUUAUCACACAUUUCGACAUAUGCUUUGACGAAGUUUGUUAGGGCAGGGUUUACUGAAAGGCAGUCGUUUGUGAGUUGUCCCUCAGCUGGGUUGCCCUUUCUUCCAGCUGAGGGAGCUCGGAUUCGCCCGACUCAUAAUAGUUUAUUCGUCGGUUCUGGUUAUUUCUAUUUUGGUAAUUUCUAUUACCGAUGUUUCUAUUUUGAUUGCGCGAGCUAUUGCUAUUUGUGCGCUGUUGACUUUGUGCGUGUCUAUAUCCAUUGUUGUUAUUAUUUGCCCGAGAUGCGUGACUAAUUUCAGCAUAAUUAUUUUCUGUUCGGCUGGAGUAAUUUCAUCUAAAAGUAGGACUGAUGCUAUGAAUGAAUCUGUUUCAUCCACGUUCCCGUCGUAUGGUUUGUUACCUGCAGUUUCUUCUCGUUGAGAGUGUAUGGACGAUGUACACUUUUAUUGAAAUUUAGUAAAAUUUUUUCGAGUUCAGCUUUAUAUUGAAAUAGUGAUUCCAUUUAUGUGAGAAACGAGAGAAAAAACAAAACAAUUUUUGUUUACAUGUUUACGACUGCUAGAAUAUUUGUUCUUGAAUGUAAAAUUUUCAGGUAGUAAUAUUAUUCAUUUAUUUAUAUUCA